rnacentral:rRNA from 1 species
GAUGAACGCUAGCGACAGGCUUAACACAUGCAAGUCGAACGAGAAUCAACGGAUUGAGGAUUCGUCCAAAUGAAGUUGAGGAAAGUGGCGGACGGGUGAGUAACGCGUGAGGAACCUGCCUCGGAGUGGGGAAUAACAGUUGGAAACAGCUGCUAAUACCGCAUAAUGCUUUUGAGCGGCAUCGCUUGAAAGCCAAAGAUUUAUCGCUGAAAGAUGGUCUCGCGUCUGAUUAGCUAGUUGGUGAGGUAACGGCUCACCAAGGCGACGAUCAGUAGCCGGUCUGAGAGGAUGAACGGCCACAUUGGGACUGAGAUACGGCCCAG